rnacentral:rRNA from 1 species
UUUGAAAGGGGAAACGAUUGAAGCCAGUCCUACCUUCGGGUAAUCAGCCUUUCGAGUGCGAUUCUGUGGAGUGUGAGGAGCUAAACACCUUCAUGCCUGCAUAUUUGUGCUCUUGGGUGUAUUUGCCCGUGUGGUAGGUUAACAUCAAUUUUGGUUGUCAUAAAAUGGCCGGAGGAAUGUAGCUUCGAUCUCGUAUUGAAGUGUUAUAGACUUCGGUAGAUGUGACGAUCGAGAUUGAGGAUUGCAACGGAUACCCUUCGGGGCUACCCGCCUGGUCUCUGAUUGUUGCUCUGGUGCCGAAAGCGUGCUUACAGUUAUCAAAGUCGAUGGUCAAAAGGUUAGAACGGGUUAAAUUCGUUAAGGAUUGACGUAA